rnacentral:rRNA from 1 species
GAUAAUUGAAUUCUACAUGGAUAACCGUAGUAAUUCUAGAGCUAAUACAUGCGAUUAAACCUGACUCUUGGAAAGGUUGUAUUUAUUAGAUAUCAAACCAGUAGUCUUUCGGGAUUAUUGUGAUGAUUCAUAAUAACUGAUCGGAUCAAGGAGUUCCUUGAUAGAUCAUUCAAGUUUCUGCCCUAUCAGCUUUCGAUGGUAGUGUAUUGGACUACCAUGGCAGUCACGGUUAACGGAGAAUUAGGGUUCGAUUCCGGAGAGGGAGCCUGAGAAACGGCUACCACAUCUACGGAAGGCAGCAGGCGCGUAAAUUACCCAAUCCUGAUUCAGGGAGGUAGUGACAAGAAAUAACAACUCGGGCAUUUUUAAUGCUUCGAAUUUGCAAUGGGAACAAUCUAAAUCACUUAUCGAGGAACAAUUGGAGGGCAAGUCUGGUGCCAGCAGCCGCGGUAAUUCCAGCUCCAAUAGCGUAUAUUAAAGUUGUUGCA